AUGUGGAGGUCCAUCUUGCUCGUGGUGGUGGUCGCGCUGGCGCUGGCGCCGGCGCCGGCGCUGGGGAUCCCGUUCACCGAGAAGGACCUCGCCUCGGAGGAGAACCUGCGGGGGCUCUACGAGAGGUGGAGGAGCCACUACACGGUGUCGCGGAGGGGCCUCGGCGCCGACGCGGAGGAGCGCCGGUUCAACGUGUUCAAGGAGAACGCGCGGUACAUCCACGAGGGCAACAAGAAGGACAGGCCCUUCAGGCUGGCGCUCAACAAGUUCGCCGACAUGACCACGGACGAGUUCCGGCGCACGUACGCCGGGUCCAGGGUGCGGCACCACCUUUCCCUGAGCGGCGGCCGCCGGGGCGACGGCAGCUUCAGGUACGGCGACGCCGACAACCUGCCGCCGGCGGUGGACUGGCGGCAGAAGGGCGCGGUCACCGCCAUCAAGGACCAAGGGCAGUGCGGGAGCUGCUGGGCGUUCUCGACGAUCGUGGCUGUGGAGGGCAUCAACAAGAUCAGGACGGGGAAGCUGGUGUCGCUGUCGGAGCAGGAGCUCAUGGACUGCGACAACGUCAACAACCAGGGCUGCGACGGCGGCCUCAUGGACUACGCCUUCCAGUUCAUCCACAAGAACGGGAUCACCACCGAGUCCAACUACCCGUAUCAAGGCGAGCAGGGCAGCUGCGACCUGGCAAAGGAAAAGGCUCAUGCCGUGACAAUCGACGGCUACGAGGAUGUCCCCGCCAACGAUGAGUCUGCCCUACAGAAAGCCGUCGCAGGCCAGCCCGUGUCCGUUGCAAUAGAUGCCAGCGGCAACGACUUCCAGUUCUACUCAGAGGUACGUGAUCCCAUCCAACUCCGUGCAAUUGAUACACAUGUUUGCUUGCUCUUGUCGGUGCUAUGUUCGGUGUUAAGUGACAACUCUGAUCACCCUCAACGAACGCAGGGCGUCUUCACUGGAGAAUGCAGCACGGAUCUCGACCACGGUGUCGCCGCCGUCGGGUACGGCACUACUCGGGAUGGCACCAAAUACUGGAUCGUGAAGAACUCGUGGGGAGAGGACUGGGGUGAGAAGGGCUACAUCAGGAUGCAGCGCGGGGUGUCGCAGGCAGAGGGGCAGUGUGGCAUCGCCAUGCAGGCGUCGUACCCAACUAAGUCGGCACCACGUGCUAGGGCAGUCAGGGAAGGGUCUCAUACUGAUGAGCUCUGA
rnacentral:rRNA from 1 species